AUGCCGCGGGGAGACAGCCCCACAGCGGCUCGCAGUCAGCCCAUUGCCGCCCGAGGCCGAACACACCCCGUCGCCCGGUGCCGGGCCGCCCCUCAGGGCAAGGGGGGCCAAGCGGGCGGGGGCAGGAGGGAAGGGGCUGGGGAGGGCCCCGCGCCUGCGCGCUGGGGGCGCGGCGCUGGGGUCAGCCCACCCCUCCGCACCGCCCCCGCCCCCGCCGCGCCAGAGCGAGGCUGGGCGUGCGGCGUCACGGCGACGGCCCCAAGCCGCGCCCCAGCACAGCAGCGAGCGGCAGCGGGCGGAGCGCAGCGGGCUCGGCCGGCGAGGCGGCGGCGGCGGGGAGCGGAGGCGCUGUCCGGUAGGAACGAGGGCGCCGGCCGGGCCCGUGGGGGGUGGCGGUGGGGUGAGGUGGGAGAGGAGGAGGGGGAGGGUGUGAGACGGGGAGCGGCGCGACGAGAGGGAAGGGGCAGGAGCCUGGAACAUGGCGGAGGAGGAGUCGCCGCCGCCCGGCCUGAGGCGCGGGGCAGUGCGGGGCCCGGCCAUACCGCCCGCUGCCCGCCGCAGAAGUUGGAGCGGAAGCGGAAAGUUGUAACCCCGCGGCUCGGGGCCGCCGGGGAGGGAGGAAGAGAGACGAGGGAGGGGCGGGUGCCGCCCGGCCGGGGACCAGGUCCCCGCAGCCGCCGCCGUUGUCAGCGGGAAGUCCGAGCCGGGCCCCACCUAGUCCGGCCGCCCGCCGCCGCUUCCGGCCGCUGGGCCCGGGGGGGGCCCGCCCGGCCUCGGGGGGUGCGGCCACAGCGGGCGGCCCCGCGAGGAGCGGUCAGCGGGAACUGCCCCAGUGAACAACAGAAAGCACCAAGGGUGGAGGGGAGCCGAGAAGCCCCAGGCCGGAAGGGACAGCGGUGUUCAUCGGCACGUCUGAACUCCGGCGGCGAAGCAAAUGGAAGAGCUCGAGGGAUGCUGCCUGCACCGAGGCAGCGGAACGCACACCCCCACCUCCACAUCCCCCCCAACCCCCCAAAAUAUAUAUAUAUGUAUCCUCCCAUCGAGAUAUAUGUCCAAUAG
rnacentral:lncRNA from 1 species